CUAGUAGCUCAGUGGUCAGAGCACUCGACGUGCAAUCGAGAGAGCCUAGGUUCAAUUCCCGGCUGG
rnacentral:tRNA from 1 species